rnacentral:tRNA from 1 species
AGGAUUUUAGUUAAAUAAUAACAUUUAAAUUGCAUUUAAAAAUUAUAUUAAUAAUAUAUAAAUCUUU